rnacentral:tRNA from 1 species
AGGGGCGUAGUUCGAGUGGUAGAGGACCGGUCUCCAAAACCGGGUGGUGGGAGUUCUAGUCUCUCCGCCCCUGCCA